rnacentral:rRNA from 1 species
UGACCUCGGAUCAGACGUGAAUACCCGCUGAACUUAAGCAUGC